rnacentral:rRNA from 1 species
UUCCGGUUGAUCCCGCCGGACCCGACUGCUAUCAGAGUGGGACUAAGCCAUGCGAGUCAACAUAGCAAUAUGUGGCAUACGGCUCAGUAACACGUAGUCAACAUGCCCAGGGGACGUGGAUAACCUCGGGAAACUGAGGAUAAACCGCGAUAAGUCACUACUUCUGGAAUGGGUAAUGACUCAAAUCUACAUGGCCCCUGGAUUGGACUGCGGCCGAUCAGGCUGUUGGUGAGGUAAUGGCCCACCAAACCUGUAACCGGUACGGGCUCUGAGAGGAGGAGCCCGGAGAUGGGCACUGAGACAAGGGCCCAGGCCCUAUGGGGCGCAGCAGGCGCGAAACCUCUGCAAUAGGCGAAAGCCUGACAGGGUUACUCUGAGUGACUUUCGCUAAGAAAGUCUUUUGGCACCUCUAAAAAGGGUGCAGAAUAAGGGGUAGGCAAGUCUGGUGUCAGCCGCCGCGGUAAUACCAGCACCCCGAGUGGUCGGGACGAUUAUUGGGCCUAAAGCAUCCGUAGCCGGUUCUGCAAGUCCCCCGUUAAAUCCAGCUGCUCGACAGAUGGGCCGCGGAGGAUACUACAGAGCUAGGAGGCAGGAGAGGCAAGCGGUACUCAGUGGGUAGGGGUAAAAUCCGUUGAUCCAUUGAAGACUACCAGUGGCGAAGGCGGCUUGCCAGAAUGCGCUCGACGGUGAGGGAUGAAAGCUGGGGGGAGCAAACCGGAUUAGAUACCCGGGUAGUCCCAG